rnacentral:rRNA from 1 species
AUCCUGGCUCAGAUUGAACGCUGGCGGCAGGCCUAACACAUGCAAGUCGAGCGGUAGCACAGAGAGCUUGCUCUCGGGUGACGAGCGGCGGACGGGUGAGUAAUGUCUGGGAAACUGCCUGAUGGAGGGGGAUAACUACUGGAAACGGUAGCUAAUACCGCAUAAUGUCGCAAGACCAAAGUGGGGGACCUUCGGGCCUCAUGCCAUCAGAUGUGCCCAGAUGGGAUUAGCUAGUAGGUGGGGUAACGGCUCACCUAGGCGACGAUCCCUAGCUGGUCUGAGAGGAUGACCAGCCACACUGGAACUGAGACACGGUCCAGACUCCUACGGGAGGCAGCAGUGGGGAAUAUUGCACAAUGGGCGCAAGCCUGAUGCAGCCAUGCCGCGUGUGUGAAGAAGGCCUUCGGGUUGUAAAGCACUUUCAGCGGGGAGGAAGGCGGUGAGGUUAAUAACCUUGUCGAUUGACGUUACCCGCAGAAGAAGCACCGGCUAACUCCGUGCCAGCAGCCGCGGUAAUACGGAGGGUGCUAGCGUUAAUCGGAAUUACUGGGCGUAAAGCGCACGCAUGGGGGCUGUCCAGUCGGAUGUGAAAUCCCCGGGCUCAACCUGGGAACUGCAUUCGAAACUGGCAGGCUAGAGUCUUGUAGAGGGGGGUAGAAUUUCCAGGUGUAGCGGUGAAAUGCGUAGAGAUCUGGAGGAAUACCGGUGGGGAAGGCGGCCCCCCUGGACAAAGACUGACGCUCAGGUGCGAAAGCGUGGGGAGCAAACAGGAUUAGAUACCCUGGUAGUCCACGCUGUAAACGAUGUCGAUUUGGAGGUUGUGCCCUUGAGGCGUGGCUUCCGGAGCUA